CACACGAGUGUGUAGUAUAUGAGUGUUGAAUCCUUUAGACCUGUGGAGUCAGAAUGUCUCCGGUUUGUUUAGCUUUGAAUCACCUUGGUAGUUAUCAUGUUCCAAUUCAAAACUUACAGUUAAUACAUGUACACACUAAGUAGAUGUACACACUAAAUAAAUGUACACACUAAGUACAUUAAAACACUAAGAACCUGUACAUACAAAGUACAUGUUCACACUUAGAUCCUGUACACAUCAAGUACGUCUACCUAAUAAGUACAUGUACACACUAAGAAUCUGUACACACCAAGUACGUCUACCUAAUAAGUACAUGUACACACUAAGAAUCUGUACACACUAAGUAAUUGUACAGAGUAAGUACAUUUACACAUUAAGUACAUCUAAACAGAAAGAACAUGUAAACCCUUAGUACACAUGCACAAACUUAGUACAUGUACAAACUAAGUACAUCUACACAGUAAGUAAACAUACACGCUUGCCACAUGUACACAGAAAGUACACAAACUCAAUACACUUGUGAGUAAACUUCCGACAUUAAUGUUGUUUCCUCGGUCAGAACACGAUGAUCUAGUGUAUAAAUACCAUGGAUUGACAAAAUCAUUUUUUACAUUAUUUAUCAUUAAUUAUUAAGAUUAUUAUUCAUGAAUCAUAUAUAUAUAUAUUAUUAAUCCUGAAUUAUUAAAUCACAACUUUCCUUCUUCCAAGUGAUGCUGAGUUGGAACACUUAUAGAGACUUCUCGGGUCAGAGGUCAACGGGAAACAGACCUUGGGAGGAGACGGAGGGAGGUUUGAGCUUGGAGAACAGGGUGGAUAGGGACAGUUAGACCUUGGUAGGUCUGUGCUGUAUACUAGGGUCGACCAGAUGUGUAGAGGCUUGUCCAGAUGGGUAGAUGCUAGUCCAGAUGGGUUGAGGCCAGUCAAUCAGUGUUCAGUCUAGUCCAGAUGUGUAGAGGCUAGUCCAGAUGUGUUCAGGCUAGACCAGAUAUGUUCAAGCUAGUCCAGAUGUGUUCCGGCUAGUCCAGAUGUGUAGAGGCUAUUACCGAUGUGUAGAGGUUAGGUCAGAUGAUUUCACAGGCUAGUCAAGAUGUGUAUAGGCUAUUCAAUAUGAGUAGAGGCUAGUCCAGAUGUGUAUAUGCUAGUCCAGAUGUGUUCAGGCUAGUCUAGAUGGGUCCAGGAUAGUCCAGAGGAAUUUAAGAUAGUCCAGAUUGGCAGAUGCUUGUCCAGAUGUGUAUAGGCUAGUCCAGCUGUGUAUAUGCUAUCCGGAUUGGUAGAGGCUAGUACAGAUGUGUUCAGGCUAGUCCAGAUGUGCAAAGGCUAGUCCAGAUGUGUUCAGGCAAGUCCAGAUGUGUAUAUGCUAGUCCAGAUGUGUUCAGGCUAGUCCAGAUUGGUAGAGGGUAGUCUCGAUGAUUUCAGGCUAGUCCAGAUGUGAACAGGCUAGUCCAGAUGUGUUAGGGAUGUGUUGUGCCUUCGUCUCAGUGAUGUCAUCGUGGCUGAUGAGAUGAAGGGCUGAUGAAUGAUGUAAUGUGUAGAAUGGGAUCCCAGGAGGGUGACACACCCUCGGAGUGAGCGAGAGAGUGUAAAAGAGAGGAAGACAAUCGUCCUGGGUUUCUCUGAUGAGGGAGAAGUGGUUUGAGGAGGAUGUACUCACUGUGUCUCCAUAUGCUUGGUGUUUGGUUGAUUAUUAAUACAAAGGGUUAUUGUCAUAAAAAACGAAAUGUAUGUCAACAACACAUUUCUAUAUUUUUUAUUAUUUGUUCAUCUAUUCAUUGGCCCAUAUCUAAAUCCUGCAUAAUAAAUAACACCAUAAUGUAUAUUAAUGUAUUUAUUUCUUCAUAUUAAAGUAGUUGAAAAUGGGCUUCACUAGUAUCGCUGAUUGGGAUUUUGUUUAUAAUCCGAAUCCAUUGUUUUGUGAGUGUUUGUGUGCGUUGGUGUGUCUGUGUGUCACUCAGUCUUAUAUUGCUCAUGUAAUUUCUUAUUAAUAAGGAGACAAUACAAAUUGCCCCUAUACAUACAGGUCAUGAAGGUGCAGGUAGAGGUUAGACAGCACAGAAAUAGGUAAUUAAGGAGCAGGUAGGGGUUAGACAGUACAGACAGGUCAUUACGGAGCAGGUAGGGGUUAGACAGUAUAGAGACAGGUCAUUAAGGAGCCAGCAGGUGAUAGUGUAUCCUGACUAAAUCUUAGUACAUUCAUACUCUGCCAGGUUAUGUUCUGGUUCCAGAUCAUCCCCAGUAACGUUGGCAACAUGAGACUUGUUUUGCUGCACAAAGGAAAGCUUCAGUCUAUAGUUGUGAGCCCGUGACCAAGAUUAACACUCUGCUCUCAGUCCAGCACAACUGACUUGUAAUACUAUUGUUUAGCAGUGUGGUGCAUAAGUCUAGUGUUGUUUAGCUGUGUUGUGUAGUAGUGGUAGUGUUUUGGUAGCAGUUUUGUGUAGUGUUUCUCUAUAUAGUAGUGUUGUUAGUGUUGUGAGGUAGUAUUGUGUAGUGGUAUUGUGGAGCAGUUUUGUGUAAUACCGUUGUUUAAUGUUGCGUAUUUGAAUAGCACACACACACACACACACACACACACACACACACACACACACACACACACACACACACACACACACACACACACACACACACACACACACACACACACACACACACACACACACACACACACACACACACACACACACACACACACACACACACACACAUAGACUCACACUGAAAAACACCCACAAUAU